CUGUCUUAUAUAUAUUAUAUUGAAUUUGACUUUUAAGUGAAAAGGCUUAAAUAAAAUAAAGGGAAGAUAAGACCCUAUAAAACUUAAUAUAAUUUAUAUUAUUUUUUAAAAUUAUUAGUUUAUUAUAUAAAAUAAUAUAAUAUUAUUUUAUUGGGGCGAUAGGAAUAUAAAAUAUUAACUGUUCUUUUUUAUUAAUCAAUUAAUAAUUGAUUAAAUGGAUCCUUUUUUAAAGAUUAAAAGUUAAAGUUACUUUAGGGAUAACAGCGUAAUUUUUUUUAAGAGUUCUUAUCGAUAAAAAAGAUUGCGACCUCGAUGUUGAAUUAAAAUUUCUUUAUAAUGUAGCAGUUAUAUGAGAAGGUCUGUUCGACCUUUAAAUUUUUA
rnacentral:rRNA from 1 species